AUGUGCAUACCAAAAAAUGAGGGUGGAAUGGGCUUCCGUGACCUUCAUGCUUUUAACCUUGCAAUGUUGGCUAAGUAAUGUUGGAGAUUGAUCUCUAAUCCAGAUACGUCAUGUGCACAUGUGCUUUGCGUGAAAUACUAUCUGGAUGGUAAUAUUUUGAAGGCAGGAUCUUUCUUUACUUGGCAGUCUAUUGUUUCAUAUUUGGCAUGUUGGGACAGGAUCGGAAACCAAUAUAUGGAAUGA
rnacentral:rRNA from 1 species